GUCUAUGUCACUUGCACAUAUGGAAAAUGGAAUGUGGUCCUUGACUUUCUGCAACUACCUUCUUUUGUUUAAUGUAUUGACUGGAAAGCACCUGGAAAUCAUUGUGAAGAUGACUCAUUAAGAUCUGUCUCUGAGGAAUUUUAAAGGCAUUCCUUUCUUAUAAGCAUCGUUUCAGGAUACAGAUGUACAAAAUGAACCCCACUCGGGAACUGGAGGUGUGCUCGCAGCAUGGAAGAGAUGAUUUUCCACUUGGCUUAUCUGUACAGCUUCUGGGAACUCACAGAGGAAGUCUAUGACAAAGUAUGGAAAUCAAGGCUCCCAAAUUUUAGACUGCAAAGACUGAUGAAAAUUAAGAAGAAGCUUUUGUGAGAAUUUCAUCAUCAA
rnacentral:lncRNA from 1 species